rnacentral:rRNA from 1 species
UACGAAGGGGGCUAGCGUUGCUCGGAAUCACUGGGCGUAAAGGGCGCGUAGGCGGAUCUUUAAGUCGGGGGUGAAAGCCCAGGGCUCAACCCUGGAAUGGCCUUCGAUACUGGAGAUCUUGAGACCGGAAGAGGUAAGUGGAACUGCGAGUGUAGAGGUGAAAUUCGUAGAUAUUCGCAAGAACACCAGUGGCGAAGGCGGCUUACUGGUCCGGUUCUGACGCUGAGGCGCGAAGGCCAGGGGAGCAAACGGG